rnacentral:rRNA from 2 species
UGGGGAAUCUUCCGCAAUGGGCGAAAGCCUGACGGAGCAACGCCGCGUGAGUGAAGAAGGCUUUCGGGUCGUAAAACUCUGUCUUCAGGGAAGAAAAAAAUGACGGUACCUGAGGAGGAAGCCCCGGCUAACUACGUGCCAGCAGCCGCGGUAAAACGUAGGGGGCGAGCGUUGUCCGGAAUUACUGGGCGUAAAGGGCGCGUAGGCGGUCAUUUAAGUCAGAGGUGAAAACUACCGGCUCAACCGGCAGCCUGCCUUUGAAACUGGAUGACUUGAGGGCAGGAGAGGGGAGUGGAAUUCCCAGUGUAGCGGUGAAAUGCGUAGAUAUUGGGAGGAACACCAGUGGCGAAGGCGGCUUACUAAGCUACUACUGACGCUCAGGCACGAAGGCGUGGGGAUCAAACAGG